AUGAGCUAAAUUAAAGACGGGCUGGGCGCGUACAAUUUUAAAUGAAGAAUUCCAUUCGCGGGCAAGGCGCCGAUGCUCGUCAACGAUGAAUUAGCAUGGCGAUGUGAACCGCAUGCAUGAGUCACUCGUUCACGAUAAUCAAUUUGGCAGCACUACUGUGCCUUAUUGGCUGGCUAAUUGGGAAAUUCGUUAAAGUGUGGGAAGGAAAGGAACCGACUGAAAUUCAAAUAAGUUGGAACUGUUAUAAGCAAAUAGUGUUAAAGGUGAGCAGUCUUGGACAAGAAAAAUACUGUUAAUAACUCGAACCUCAACUCUGCGGGUGUAGAAACUGAACAACUACCGGCGUCAACACAACGCAAACUGCAAACGCCAAGCUCAGCCGGACGGUCAUUUGUAUACUGUCAAAAUCGCGGUCGGAAUCACUUGGAGCGAAUGACAACGAUUAUCUAAUCUUGCAGUGCGCAAAGAAAAAAUGUCUCAAAGGUCAACCCAACUACCCGACCGCACUGCUCACCUGUCAGUCAGAGCUCAUGCAGGACCGUGGCUCACUCACUCGCUCGCUAGUGCUGCUGCUGGUGCUCGACGGUGCUCAUGCCACUGACUGAACAACUUCCGAGUCUCCUCCGCCAGCACUGUGUGGGCAGACACUCCGCGAAAGACAGAGAGCGCUCGCGACCGCGCGCCGCGUCUGCAUCGGAUGUGAAAUAAAUAAUGCUUAUUAUUGAUGCACGGGCCCCGAUAUUCGCAUAUGGUGCCCAUCGAAUGGGUCCGCCCAAAACGCGUCUGUGUUUUUAAUUCAGAGAAUCGAAAGGUCAUGUGCCUUAGUUAAAAGCGGUGAUUUUAAAUUGGCAGCCUCCAAGAGUUGUUGAUUUCUGAUAAGAUGAGUUUUGUGUGUUGCUAUUAUCGAUUUUUAAUAUGUAUAGCAAUUUAUAUUUUAUCUAGACUAGUACCACCAACGUGACAAGUUUGGAUAUUUAGGAAAACAAAACAGAAGUCACACAAUUAUUGUGUUAUUAUCAGCAAGUCAUACUAUAGGUAGGCACGCCAGCGAGACAGAAUUCAAACCGUCUGGAGAUAAUAGCUUAUAUGAGCACUUCUGUUGCAUGUGUACUGAAUACCAAAAUAUUUACGAUUCAUACAAAUAGCACUGAUCAAAAUUUUUUCAGUUUUGACAACAGAAUAAAUUUAUUCAAAAAUACCUUACUACACAAUUUGCACCAUUAUUUAAAAAAAAAAUUGAUAGGUAAAUGCUUUGUUAUAUUUUUGUUAAGUUCUGGAUGUGGAUGUAUGGGGCACAGUUGCCCUGCUGAUCCGUAAUAAACCAAAUUUGAAUCUAAAUAAAUAA